AUUUAUAUAGUAUAAAAAGUAUACGUGACUUCCAAUCACGAGGUUUAAAUAUUUUUAAUAUAAAUA
rnacentral:tRNA from 2 species